UCUCUUUUUUAUUGUUUAGAAAAAUAGAGUGGGAGAUUGAGAGAGCAAAGUUUCGUCGUUGAAGUUUACUCGUAGCCAAACUCUGCUUUUAAGAUUGAAGUGGGAGGGCUCGUGACAUAUAUAUAUAUGUCUGCAUCGUAAUCAAGAACCAGAGGUGAUUUCAGAGUCUGCUUUUAAGGUUUUGCAAUUACACGGAGCAGAUGACAAUGAACAAAGAAAACAUGUCACUGUCGCGGAUACGUUUAGUCAGCUAACACUAAGUGGUGCUUGUGCCGGAGGAAUUUUUUCCAGCUAUGACUGACUAGUCCUGAUGUAUCGCCACUUUAUUUCACGAUUGCUUCUAAAGAGAGCGUUGCAAGAAAAUGGCAACUAAUUAAUGAGAACGUUGCAAGAAAAUUGUGCCAGUCGGUACAGCAAAAUUAAAGUAGUGCCCAAAUCCAAAAAAACAUA